rnacentral:rRNA from 1 species
UACGGAGGGGGCUAGCGUUGUUCGGAAUUACUGGGCGUAAAGCGCACGUAGGCGGCUUUUGUAAGUUAGAGGUGAAAAGUCCAGGGCUUAACCCUGGAAUUGCCUUUAAGACUGCAUCGCUAGAAUCGUGGAGAGGUGAAUGGAAUUCCGAGUGUAGAGGUGAAAUUCGUAGAUAUUCGGAAGAACACCAGUGGCGAAGGCGACUCACUGGACACGUAUUGACGCUGAGGUGCGAAAGCGUGGGGAGCAAACAGG